AUCCAUGUUCAAGGCAUUUAUUGCUCGAGCGUUGACUGGUCCUCAGAGAGAGGACAAGUGUACAGAGCAGUCUUCUGAAGAGGGAUGGGUACUUGAGUCCUCAGUGUCACCUGAGUCACAGCCACAUGGGCCUGCUGGUCCGUUAGACCUACAGUCUCCUCUCAACCAAUCCCAAGGGUCCUCUCUCUUCUCAGUCAUUGCUCAAAGGGAUCCUCCAAUUGCUUAAGCCAAGCUCAUAAGCCACACAUUGUAGGGCGCCCUCCAAUGGUGAACAACGGUACUGCGCAUGCGCAGGUUUUGCACCUGGCGUCAGUUGGCCGGUAAUAUGCUAAUGAGGGGGCGGUACCAUGCUAGUGAGGUGAUUCAUUCUCCGCCAAUCCAUGGAGGACAAGUAGCAGGGGUGAUAGUGGGGUGAUAGUGGGGUGAUAGUGGGGUGAUUCGUGCCCUGCCAAUCCCUGAAAGACAAUUAGCAUAGCCCCAGCCUGUUGUGUAUAUAAGGCGAGCGCUUUUGCCACUCGAGGUCCCCGUAUCAGCAAUGAAGGUGUCCUGCAAUAAAGGCUGUUGACAAGGAUCCGACGGUGUUGCGUCUUCCUUGCCGGACGAGGUGGGCACGACAACACAUGAACAUCCGAGAGCGGUAGAGGCACUCGGUGAUGCAUGUUUCUGACAUAGCUGGUGGAACUCCUUUCUCCAUCAAAGGGGCUCCUGAUGAAGAAACGCCAGCAAACGGGAGACCUUUGGGAUAGUAUCAACCGAAUUUCCUGAGUAAUCAGUUAAACUAAGAAGCACGUGGCUGUGCCUAGAGAGCGGACUCGGUUAGUAGAGUAUUUGCUGCACAAUCAUGGGAGCUUGAGUUUGGAUCCCAGCACCCUGUUUAAAAAACAAAACAAAACAAAACAAAACAAACAAAAACAAAACCGCAGAUCGUGGUGUGCCUGUAGACCUAGAACCAGGCAAACAGGGUCAAGAGGAUCUCUGGGCCUUUUGUCUAUCCUGUUCAGUUAAUUCAUUGAGACACCCAGAAACAGAAAAGUAAAGGAAAUGGAUUGAAGAGCACCGCUGAUACUGACCUCUGACCGCCAUACACAAGGACGCAUAUGUGCGCAUGCGCUUGAUUUACCCACCGCCAGGAAAGGAAUGCGCCUUUCUAAAUGUAAUGCGUGCGCCUUUCUAAAUGUAAGGCUUUCAAAGCGUUAACUUUUUUGUAGAAAUAAAAAGUUUGUGAAACUUUAUGCAACAGUGACAAAGAAUUCUAAAAGGUAAGAAGGAUGUCUUCGCUCCCAGGAUACAUGGAAGCGCCUGGCUAGAACGUGGGCACCCGCAAACAGGCGUAAGAGCGUCACCACCGCCUCACGGAUGUCUUGUAGCUCCUAGAAAUAUCAGGAUUUGUUUUUCAUAUUAAUUCAAUUCAAAUCCCAGUGGUCACUCUGACAUUAAGGAGGAGAGAAUUGCGCUUCGGUGCUGGGCGAACAAAAUGAGUGUUUCUGUCUGGUACAGCGAGUUUCAUCGGGAGAGCAGCCGGCAGAAUGAUGGAGCCUUUGUUUCUCUCUGAAAGGAACAAAACCGAACCAUUUAGUAAAUAAUACCAAGUGACCUUGGUAAAUACAACCUCCUCUCUCCCGAGGAUAUUUAAAAUUUCCCAAAACCUUGCCUCCAAACACGGGUAAUAGGACUCGUUUCCAGAUAAGCUGUGAACUUAAUCCACAGGGAAAGGAGUUGUCAAUCCCUUCUCAAACAAACUCAGCUCAGCCUGCACUUGCUGCGCUUCUAAUUCUUGUUUCCAAUUCUUGUCUCUAUGUGAGAUAAGAAGUAGCAAAGUCCCUAAAACAGGUGAGGCAUUUUAAAGAAGGGAUUGGGGACCUUUGCAUGGUCUUUGACCUCUGGCCACUAGAGAUGACAGUGUGUUGAAUGGAAUGGCCAGGACACUCAAUCCCUGGCAAAUAUUGAGGAUCUCAUUCUGGCUGUCGGGUGCAUGAAACUAACAGCCAAGCUGUCCGAAGCCCAGGCAGCACUAGAAGAAGCCUUACUCGUUUAAAUUUUUAUCAUUUUCUCUGAGCACCUUUUAUCCGUGGUAAGAAUAAAAACCAGAAGUUAGGAAGGGACACAGAAACAGAGGCAAAGACAGAGACAGAGGACGCCACAAGAAGGAAGCCUUAGGGUCCCGACAGAGGCUUCUAAGGGAGCGGAAUUAGAACAGAGUGCUGUGGGAGGGACAGAGUUCGAAUUGGUGUCACCAGCUUGGUUUCUAAUGACAGUUUUGCAGAACUCUUAACACAGGAAAAAUUAUAAAGCCCUUUAACCUCAGUUUCCCAGUGUGAAUUUAGGUAUAACGAGUCAAAAUACACACAGCUCACUGGACAUCGGAGACUAUGAGUACGUUCCUACUGUUCACAGGCUCAAAUCCUGUAACUAAAGGUAGAGUUCAGACAGUCUGGGCCAAGGGACUUUCCUCAGUUACCAGUAAAAUGCACAUCAAAAAUUCUAGCAUUGUGGCCUGGAGGAGAAAAUGUAUGCUAGCUACCGUAAACUCCAUUCUGAUGGAGUUAGAAAUAAAGAAGUCGCCCCCAGGAUGGAGGAAAGUUCAAACAUCAUGCUGGUAAAAUUAUCAGCUUGUGCCUAUAAUUGGAUCUCACAGGUAAUUGCAAAAGCUGCUAUUGAAAGAACAGCUUGAAUUUUUCCCUAAACAACGAGGGUGCCAGGAGCAGCUGCAGAUGUGGUCAGCCCUGUGCCCCGGUUCAGAAGUCAUGAUUCUCAUACGACAUUACAUUUUCUGACAAACAUGACUUUAAAAAAAGAAAAUAAUCAAAGAGAACAUCUCAACAAAAGCCUUGGCUGCUGGAACAUAAUAGACAUCUGUCUAGAUAAAGCUCAAAGGUGGCAAAGAUCAUGGACGUAAAUCUUUUGUGCCUCUGACAAGCUGGGGUCACAGGGCUGUGUGGACAGGUUUCUACUUCCGGUUUCUCGUGCAGGGUCUCCAUUCGGAUGAGAAUGCCUCGACUUGGAGAGAGCGCAGAUAGGUCUUGAGUUCCUGAUCCUGCCUCUUGCUCCUCUGCCCUUCCUGAUUGUAUCCGUCAAGUUGACCAACGACUCACAUUGGUCAUUACUGAAGCCACCUUGCCGGCUACAUCCUUCAUACUCACAUCCGCUUGACUAGCCCAUCCUGCUGGCUUUACCUUCAAAGACAGAUACAGAACCACCGGAGUAGACCAACCAGCCAGAUGUUCUUUGAAUUUUUUUUCCUGGGCUUGAAAGGUCCAUGUCAAAGCCAGUCCUGCUAAGGGCAUGUUUGGAAAAAAGCAUCUAAGGACUCAUUCAGGAGAAUUGAAAACUUCCCAGAGAGGCCCAGUUCAAGAGGAGACAUUGGGAAUGGAGAGAGAGCUCAAUAAGCAGAGGUACUGCUGUGCAAUCAUGAGGACCCCACUUCAAUCUCCAAUACUCAUUAAAAGCCAGGCAUGGUGCAUCAUGCUUAUAAUUUGUAAAAUGGAGAGAUGGAGACAGGUAGGUCUGUUGAUCCACCCUAUCCUAGUUGACAAAUUCCAAGCAAGUGAGAAACUCUUUCUCAGACAACAAGAUCAAAGGCAUCUGAAGUAGGUCACCUGAGAUUGACCUCUGACCCACAUGUAGACAAACAUCAGACAUCCCAGACAUGGCUCCUUUCUUAUUUUCCAUCCUCCCCAAUUUCUCCCUUCCUCCUUUUUGCUCCAAUUCUUUCUCUCUUACACACAAGAAUGGCCAUAGGAUGGUAUGGUCCUAAGGCCAUCAUAAAACAGUUAGAAAAUGUCUCUAAUUUGUGGUAAUUCUAUUUAAAAUGUUAAGUAGAAUUCUCUUGUGAAAACAGGUAGCUCAGAGAGUCCUCUCAUGUUUUCAUAUAUGAAUUAAACCUGAUUACUAACAUCAGACAAUUUACACUAUCCAUUUCAUACAGAGCAGGUUGUCAUAGUAUGUGGGUCCUGAGAAUGUAGUUCAGUUCAUCUUAACUGUAAGACACUACACAGUGCCACGUGCUGUAUUGCCAGUGGCUUUAAGGGCUCAGCGAUAGCAUCUCUUAUCCUCAGGAAUGGUGACCUCACCUGGAAUUAUUUAUGCUUUGCCUUUUUCAGUUGUGUUAGAAUUCUACUGGGGUUUUGCCUCUUUUUCUUUUAUUGAAGAAUCAGCUCUUUUAUUAUGUUUGCUGAGUUCCUAAUUUUAAUUUCGACAUCUACUCAUCUCCCUGUUUCCUUAUACUUAUACUCUUUGAUUAUGGAACUUUACAUUAUGUUCUAAGAAUUUUUAGAAUUUAUGUGCAUAUGUGUGCCCUUCACCAGUUUAUGAAAACUGUGUGGGUGUAUGUAGAGGCCUGAAGAAGUUGUUGCAUCCCCUGGAACCAGAGUUACAGGUGGUUGUGACAUACCCAAUGUGUGUGCUAAUAACAGAACCUGGGUCCGCUGUUAUGACAUGCUCUUAUCUGCUAAGGUAUCAUCUUUACUGCUGAAUCAUCAAAUCUACUGCUGAGUCAUCAAAUCUACUGCUGAGUCAUCAAAUCUACUGCUGAGUCAUCAUCUCUCCCAGCUUUUAAUUGAGAUAUUUAAGUAGAAAUUUAGAAUGCAUUUUCUUUUCUGAUAAAAGUCUGUGAGUUCUGCAGAUCCCUCAGCUCCUGUCCAAAGCUGCCAAGACUACUUCAGAAUUAAAAGAACAAAAUGUCUGGUUUAUUCUUUCCCAGAUCUAUUAAUUCAUUAGGUAUUGUAAAAUGAAGAUAUUCUAUCUCUAUCAGUCUUUGCUCAUUCAUAUUACCAAUUCACUAAAGAGAAUUUUCCCUUGUUGACUGCUUGGUUGCCCUAGUAACCUGAUGCCAGCUCUCCUAGUGAUUUUUAAACUACUUCAUGUUUUUGGAUGCAUUGUAAGCUGUCUAACAUUCUCUAGCAUUGGAUAUUUAAACCAUUUAUAUUCCUUUGUCCUUUGUACACUGAUUCUGCAUUGAAUAAACUUGUCCAAACCA